rnacentral:lncRNA from 1 species
GAUUUUUGAAACGUGGUGUUUAAAAUAUUCAAAUGGGCAUUUGAAUGUUAACCCCACAUAAGAGUCUUUUAGAAAAAUGUGCAAUGCACAUAUAUGGAUAGGUCUUGAUUUUAGGAACAUGUAGAAACUUGAAUCAUUAGAUGUGGUUGAUAUAUGAAUAUCCAAUGGAUAUUUGAAUCUACCAGAAAAAGAAAAUAAAA